AUAGUAACAACUCUGGAAACUCGCCGGUAGUGGGACAACAUAUUUGAUCAGCUCGUGGAAGUUUCUGUAUGACGUGACAGUCUGGUGAUUUGAGUGUAUUUUAACACAGAAUGCAAAAAAGAAUGGUGCUGAUGAGAUUAGGAUUAAAGGCGGUGUCCUGGCGACAACUGCAUCAACCGAAGAGAACGCUGUAUUACGGGAGGGCCAUAUCACUUCUAGGUGUAGGCUUGGCUGGUGUGUGUCAGUCACCGUCUGUCUCGGCCAAGGUUUGUUCCAGGAAUGUGAGGACAUUCUCAGUAUUUCAUCAGUCAUGUUCAAGAACCCAGCAGUACUCAUCACAAGUGACAGAUGAGGGAUUCUUAUCCACUCCUCUGUAUUUGCGGUCUGUAAAUCACUUGAACAACUUGGCAAUCAUUGAUCACCAUGGUAGUUUUACAUACCGGGACCUACUGUAUCUCGGAGAUAAGAUGGGGCAACGCCUAUCAGAAAGUUGUCAAAUAGCUCCUUCCUGCACGCUGGAGAGCCGUCGGGUGGCAAUACUCUGUGAGAAUGAUAUGUCUUUUGUGACAGCCUUGUGGGGGGUAUGGAUGGUUGGAGGAGUGGCUGUGCCUCUGGCCAAGACACAUCCUCCCUCGGAACUUGAGUACCGGGUAAAGGAUGCCAAGUGUUCUGCUAUAGUGACAUGUAAUGCGUUUAAGGACAAGGUGGAAGAUAUCGCCACUAACCAUAACAUUCCAUGUCUGCAGCUGGCAGCAGCAGACUACACAGACAAAUGUCGGACAGGGUUCGACUUUUGGAAAGUCCAGGAGGCCCGGUUCGGAACAACCAAAGAUCAGCUUAUAAAUAUGAUAGAGAAAAGGUUUUAUGAUAAUAUACCAGCUGUCAUUAUCUACACAAGUGGCACCACUGGUAACCCAAAGGGUGUCGUGCUAACCCACCGGAACGUCACAGCCAACAUGGAGGGUAUGGUGUCAUCAUGGCGAUGGACCCCCAAAGACAGAAUCCUCCAUGUCCUGCCACUGUACCAUGUUCACGGCCUGGUGAACGCACUCAUGACUCCACUGUACUGUGGUGCCACGUGUGUCAUGCUGCCCAAGUUUGAUGCACACCAGGUGUUGAUGAAGCUGACAGGUAAAGAAAACAUUACAGUGUUGAUGGCAGUACCCACUAUCUACGCCAAGUUAAUAGAAUACCUGAAGACCUUGGACCAGAAGUCGGACAUGUCUGCUAGUGAUGAACAUAUUAAGGCAAAAGACAGUGACAUGAGGUGGAACAUGAGGCUUAUGGUGAGUGGCUCAGACGCACUGCCCACAACUGUCUUAGAGCAAUGGGAGGCUAGGACUGGUCACUUCCUGUUGGAGCGGUAUGGGAUGUCGGAGACUGGAAUGAUCCUCACUAACAACAUUGAAACAGUACAUUCCACUGAUUGGGCAGAGAAAAAGAGAAUAAUUGGUACUGUAGGAAACCCAAUGCCUUAUGUCAAAGUGAGAAUAGUGAAGUUCAACGAGGACAAUCCUGACAAGUAUGACAUACUUUGUGAAGGGACACCAGAGGGCACUACUGUCUACACAGAUGAGGCUGUCACUGGAGAGCUACUUGUGAAGGGCCCCAACGUGUUUGGUAGCUACUGGAACCUGCCUGAGGCCACAGAGCAAUCCUUUACAAAGGACGGCUGGUUUAUCACAGGUGACAACGUUCACUACAACGGGGAGCUAUACAAGAUCCAGGGGAGGGUCAGUGUUGAUAUCAUCAAGGUUGGAGGCUUCAAAAUCAGCGCCCUUGAUGUAGAACAGGUACUUAGGACACACGCACAUAUCUGUGAUGUCGCGGUUAUUGGGAAGCUUGACUCGGUGUAUGGUCAGCAGGUUGUGGCGGUCAUCUGUCUGCGUGAGAACAGGACCCUGACAUUGGGAGAAGUACAGGACUUCUGUUCUGACAAACUGUCUAGGUAUGAAAUCCCCACUGUACUGGAGGUGAUGGCAGAGUUACCCAGGAACCAUAUGGGCAAGUGUAAUAAAAAACUGCUGUUAAAGGCUCUGUACCCAGACAACAGUUAGCUGUCAUCACCUGAUGCUGUGGUAAACCAACUAGCUUGGCAACAUUUACUUCGUUAUAUGGUUCAUAUGCACAAAUCUACAUCGUUCAAAUGUUUACUCUGGAUUUUGUUGACAAAGAAUAAUAAUGUAACAAAAUUUGUGAUUGGAUCAUAACAUUUGAUUACACUUUAUGACGUAAUACCUUCAAUCCUCUGCUAUUUUCCUGGAUAAUAAUUUGCAUUUAUGUAAAUGAUGGUGUUGGUAUUUUCUUCUUCAUUUUUUAUAUAAUUGUUAUGGUCUGUGAUUAGGUGAGAUAAUUUUUGCAUGUCCAACUUCUUAGGAAAAAGAUAAGAUAUAAGUUAUAACUGUAACUGUAGGCAGUCAUUGAAUAUUUUUGAUAUAACUAACUCCAUGAUGUCUGCCUUUACCUGUUUGAUAAGGGUACUUAUGAUUUCAUGAAUGACUAUAUAAAUGGCUAUCAUUGUAAAUGAACCUCUAAAUAUAUGUCUAUUUUCAUAAUCAGGUUGGUUGAUUAGUGUACCUCUCAUACUAGAAAAAAAUGUAUUAAGUAAUUUCCUGUUUGUCAGCAUCAGCAUUGGUAAGUGUUUUCAUACAAGUGUUAAAUUUAUAUAUAUAUACUGUUACCUUCAGUAUUUGUACUAGUAUAGAAGAAUUAAGUUCUUUACAUCAAUAGUUACAUGUAUUCCCUGAUAACUUAGGUAAAAAGUUGACUUCACUCGUAUUUGUGAAGGAGUCCUAAAAAUAUUAGUACCUAUAUCCGCUUUAAUUUGAACCCCACCCCCCUGGUCCCCUGUGCAGAGGUGGGGUCAAGAUUCGAAACGGUGGGUGGUUAUUGUGUCCGACCGUCUACGAUCACAACCCCUCUACCUCCGAGACAUGGGUUCAAGGCCUAUAUGGGGCAGUUGCAAAGUAUUGGCCACAGAUUGAUCAUUUUUCUCCAGGUUCUCCGUUUUUUCUCCACUACCAAAACCUGGUUUGUCUUUUAUAUGUAAAUGACCAUGGCUGUUAAUGGGACAUGCGUAACAGUAUAAGAGGAAGGGGGCACACUCUUCAUUUUAUAACUUUAAACUUAUUAUGUUUAGAAAUAUUUCAUGCCAAAUUAAUUAAAUCCGUUUGAUCGUGUUUAAGGGGUUGUUUAUCAGAAAUAUAUAUGUAUAUCUUUCUAUAGGUGUCAACCUCUGAAACCUCCAAUGAGAGAAAAUCUCCCUAAUUCCACGUUUCCAAUGACUGAGAAAAGGGUAGGAAAUCCCACUGAAGCUGCUUCGCUCAAUUCGUCUUUCCCUUUUUAUGUAUCAAAAUAAAUUAAAGAAGCAGUAAUUACAUUUGUAGGAUAUCAUUUGACCAAUGAUGUAGAUUUUCAGGUUGUGUGAUUUGGACUUGAAUGAGGGAGUUUCGAGGGAGAUUGGUAUUUUUGGUCAAAAUGAGAGAGUCUUCCUCCUAAUGAGGGAGGUUGACAGCUUAUGUUUUUCCCUUUUUAGCAUGUCCUCUCUGCUUCCUUUCAGUUAUACAACUUGAAAUCCCAAUGGCCCAGGGAUAAUCCAUGACAAAUUAGGUCAAACAUGACUUUAAUCACAUUUAUUGAGUGGUCAUGAGAAGAUUUCCACCUUUUUCGCAUGAAAUGAUCUAUGCUAGAUACUGUUAAAAUACCUUCUGCCCUUCUGGACUAGAAGUCUUUAAGUGAAAAAUGUAUCGAGGGAUGCUGAGACAUGGCAUAAGCUCGCUUUUCCCUUUGAGCCACAUGAGAUAUAAAAAUAUAACAUGCCAAAGAUAUUUUUGUAAACUUGACACAACUUUAAUCCAUUUUUAAUACAUAUUAAUGAAUAAAUAUUUGUGAUGAGAUAUUUUAGAUCAUGAAUAACAUAAACCGCUUAAUUGUUGAACAGCAUUUUUUAUUGUGGAUUCUUAUGUAUUGCCUUUUACAUGCAUUUAUAUUCCAGAUAGUGCCAAUCACGAUGUACAAUCAUGAUUUACUUUGCAUCAAUAUUGGUGCAAAGUUCAUUUGUAAUAGCCUUAAUAAAAUUAGUUUUCCAUGGGUGAUAAUGUGUUAAUGAAUGGAUAUAUUACUAUAGUUAUUGAAAUUGGAUUGCAGAUGUUACUUUCGAUAAGAAUUAUUUAAUACACAAUUAAACCAUUUAUAAGAGUAAUAGUUCGUUUCUGUGUCAAGUUUUGUAUAUUGGUGAUUUAAUUUUUUCACAUCUGAUGACUUCUGACUGUAUAACUGAUGGAUUAUUAUGAACCUGAAGUAAUCAAAUUGAUGGUAUUUAUGUGAUGAUUUUCAUGACAGUUACACAGCAAUGUAUAACAUGUAUAGAAGAGAUGAAGGUGCUGAUUCUCCAUGUGAUAUCAUGACAGUUACACGGCCAUGUAUGAUGUGUAUAGGAGAGAUGAAGGUGCUGAUUCUCCAUAUGAUAUGAUGACAGUUACAGGGCCAUGUAUGACGUGUAUAGGAGAGAUGAAGGUGCUGAUUCUCCAUGUGAUAUUCAUGACAGUUACACGGCCAUGUAUGAC
rnacentral:misc_RNA from 1 species